GUUGGGUAGGGGAGCGUUCUGUAAGCCUGCGAAGGUGUACUGUGAGGUAUGCUGGAGGUAUCAGAAGUGCGAAUGCUGACAUAAGUAACGAUAAUGCGGGUGAAAAACCCGCACGCCGGAAGACCAAGGGUUCCUGUCCAACGUUAAUCGGGGCAGGGUGAGUCGACCCCUAAGGCGAGGCUGAAAAGCGUAGUCGAUGGGAAACGGGUUAAUAUUCCCGUACUGGUGGUAACUGCGAUGGGGGAACGGAGAAGGCUAGGUUGUCCGGGCGACGGUCGUCCCGGUUCAAGCAGGUAGGCAGAGUGAUUAGGCAAAUCCGGUCACUUAAUGCUGAGAUGUGAUGACGAACCACCAAGGUGGUGAAGCAAUUGAUGCCCCGCUUCCAGGAAAAGCCUCUAAGCUUCAGGUUACCAACAAUCGUACCCCAAACCGACACAGGUGGUCAGGUAGAGAAUACUCAGGCGCUUGAGAGAACUCGGGUGAAGGAACUAGGCAAAAUGGUGCCGUAACUUCGGGAGAAGGCACGCUGGCGGUAGGUAAAGUCCCUCGCGGACAGAGCUGAAGCCAGUCGAAGAUACCAGCUGGCUGCAACUGUUUAUUAAAAACACAGCACUGUGCAAACACGAAAGUGGACGUAUACGGUGUGACGCCUGCCCGGUGCUGGAAGGUUAAUUGAUGGGGUCAGCCGUAAGGCGAAGCUCCUGAUCGAAGCCCCAGUAAACGGCGGCCGUAACUAUAACGGUCCUAAGGUAGCGAAAUUCCUUGUCGGGUAAGUUCCGACCUGCACGAAUGGCGUAAUGAUGGCCAGGCUGUCUCCACCCGAGACUCAGUGAAAUUGAACUCGCUGUGAAGAUGCAGUGUACCCGCGGCAAGACGGAAAGACCCCGUGAACCUUUACUAUAGCUUGACACUGAACAUUGAGCCUUGAUGUGUAGGAUAGGUGGGAGGCUUUGAAGUGUGGACGCCAGUCUGCAUGGAGCCAACCUUGAAAUACCACCCUUUAACGUUUGAUGUUCUAACCUAGGCCCAUAAACUGGGUCGGGGACCGUGUCUGGUGGGUAGUUUGACUGGGGCGGUCUCCUCCUAAAGAGUAACGGAGGAGCACGAAGGUUGGCUAAGCAUGGUCGGACAUCAUGCGGUUAGUGCAAAGGCAUAAGCCAGCUUGACUGCGAGAGUGACGGCUCGAGCAGGUACGAAAGUAGGUCUUAGUGAUCCGGUGGUUCUGAAUGGAAGGGCCAUCGCUCAACGGAUAAAAGGUACUCCGGGGAUAACAGGCUGAUACCGCCCAAGAGUUCAUAUCGACGGCGGUGUUUGGCACCUCGAUGUCGGCUCAUCACAUCCUGGGGCUGAAGUAGGUCCCAAGGGUAUGGCUGUUCGCCAUUUAAAGUGGUACGCGAGCUGGGUUUAGAACGUCGUGAGACAGUUCGGUCCCUAUCUGCCGUGGGCGUUGGAAGAUUGAGAGGGGUUGCUCCUAGUACGAGAGGACCGGAGUGAACGCACCACUGGUGUUCGGGUUGUCAUGCCAAUGGCAUUGCCCGGUAGCUAAGUGCGGAAGAGAUAACCGCUGAAAGCAUCUAAGCGGGAAACUUGCCUCGAGAUGAGUCUUCCCUGUCGCUUUAAGUGACCUAAAGGAACGUUUAAGACUAAGACGUUGAUAGGCUGGGUGUGUAAGCGUAGCGAUACGUUGAGCUAACCAGUACUAAUGAACCGUGAGGCUUAACCUGACAACACCGAA
rnacentral:rRNA from 1 species